CCAAGCCUGGCCUGUUGAGGAGUGACGGACUCCAUCCUAGCUGGAGGGGUGCUCUCAUCUUAUCUACGAACAUAGACAGGGCUCUAACUCCUCUAGCUCCACAAUGAAAUAGGGUGCAGGCCAGGCAGCAGGCUGUUAGCCAGCCUGCCAGCUUAGUGGAGUCUGCCACUAGCACAGUCAGUGUAGUCAGCUCAGCUUCCCCCAUUGAGACCGUGUCUGUGCCUCGAUCUAGGUUGGGCAAAAUUAAAAAUGGCGGUGUUCGCUUUAGCAAUCUCACUAGUAUAAAGACCUCCUCCAUUCCUGCCAUUAUUGAAAGAGAUUGUGAUACCUCACAUCUCAAAAUUGGGUUACUUAAUGUUAGAUCACUCACUUCCAAGGCAGUAAUAGUCAGCGAAACUAAUCACUGAUCACAACCUUGAUGUUAUUGGCCUGACUAAAACAUGGCUCAAACCUGCUGAAUUUACUGUGUUCAAUGAAGCCGCCAUCUCCUCCUGGUUACCCUAGUGACCAUAUCCCACGCACAUCCCGUGUGGCUCAGUUGGUAGCGCAUGGUGUUUGCAACGCCAGGGUUGUGGGUUCGAUUCCCACGGGGGGGACCAGUACGGAGAGAAAAAAAAUAUAUAAUAAUAAUGUCUGGAUUCAGCAUUUAAACUCUAUGAGUGAACAUCUUCAUGACAUAUCACAAAUCAGUGUUCUUGAUGUGAUGGAGUACUAAGGACAAAACUUCCCUCUCUCUACAGAUCUCUAUAGGAAGCCUACGGACAGGAAUACCCUCCUUAGAGGUGACAGCUUUUCAUCCACGUCCACUCAUUAAAAGUCUCCCUAUAAGUCAAUUCAGUCGUAUCAGAAGAAUAAGCAGCUCUGAUGCUUUUUACCAGAGACAGAACACGGACCUCAACACAAAGGUUUAAGGAAAGAGGGGUACAAAGACAAUUGGGUAAAACAUGCCCAAUGAUCAUUUUUGAAGGACUAACACAGUUGGAAAGCCUUCCAUCAAAAGUUAAGGAAAAAGCAAAACAUAUCCCAUCAUGCUUCACCCAAUACUCAACGUUGGGGAAGGCAUUCAAGAAUAUUAUGGGGAAGCACUGGUACAUUAUUGAUACUGAGCCACAAUUGAAACCCCAUUUUUAAAUAUCCCCCACGUAUGGCUCCCGAGUGGCGCAGCGGUCUAAGGCACUGCAUCUCAGUGCUAGAGGCAUCACUGCAGUCCCUGGUUCGAUUCCAGGCUGUAUCACAACCGUCUGUGAUUGAGGGUCCCAUAGGGUGGCGCACAAUUGGCCCAGCAUCAUCCGGGUUUGGCCAGGGUAGGCCGCCAUUGUAAAUAAGAAUUUGUUAUGAACUGACUUACCUAGUUAAAUAAUAAUAAAAAUAAAAAAAAAUACAAAUGUUAAAGACCCACAAACGUGAGAGACAUUGUGGUUAAAUCUGAUUACCCACCAGAAACAAAGGAAGCUUUCUUGGACAAGGUUCCAGAGGGUAAUUACAUAUGUGGCCAAUGUGCUCAAUGCAGCUUCAUGUACAAAUGCAACUCCUUUACCCCACCCCCGCACAGGACAAAGAUUUAAGAUCAAGGGCCUGAUUACCUGCAUGUCCACCAGUGUUAUUUACAUGUUGAAAUGUCCUUGCGGACUGUCUCACAUAGGGAAAACCCGUUGAAGCCUUAAGACAUGGGUCAGUGAGCACCACAGGAAUAUACAGACAGGUGUGUCACGCCCUGGCCAUAGAGAGGGUUUUGUUCUCUAUUUUGGUUAGGCCAGGGUGUGACUAGGGUGGGCAUUCUAUGUGCCAUUUUCUAUGUUUUGUGUAUUUCUUUGUUUUGGCCGGGUAUGGUUCUCAAUCAGGGACAGCUGUCUAUUGUUGUCUCUGAUCGGGAACCAUACUUAGGUAUCCUUUUCCCACAGGGUUUUUGUGGGUAGUUAAUUUCUGUUUAGUGUUUUGC
rnacentral:lncRNA from 1 species